rnacentral:rRNA from 1 species
UGAUCCUGGCUCAGGAUGAACGCUAGCGGCAGGCCUAAUACAUGCAAGUCGAACGGUAGUAGCCCUCGGGCUGCUAUAGUGGCGAACGGGUGCGUAACGCGUAAGUAACCUGCCCCUGACUGGGGGAUAGCCCGGCGAAAGCUGGGGUAAACCCGCAUGGUCUCUUUAGGUGGCAUCACCUUGGGAGUAAAGAUUUAUUGGUUAGGGAGGGGCUUGCGUCUGAUUAGCUAGUUGGCGGGGUAGCAGCCCACCAAGGCGAUGAUCAGUAGGGGCUCUGAGAGGAGCGGCCCCCACACUGGCACUGAGAUACGGGCCAGACUCCUACGGGAGGCAGCAGUAGGGAAUAUUGGGCAGUGGGCGAGAGCCUGACCCAGCCAUGCCGCGUGCAGGAAGAAGGCGCUCAGCGUUGUAAACUGCUUUUAUCGGCGAAGAACAGCCGUCCUGCGGGAUGGUGUGACGGUAGUCGAGGAAUAAGCACCGGCUAACUCCGUGCCAGCAGCCGCGGUAAUACGGAGGGUGCAAGCGUUGUCCGGAUUUAUUGGGUUUAAAGGGUGCGUAGGCGGGCUGGUAAGUCUGGUUUGAAAGUCGGCGGCUCAACCGUUGAGGGUGGCUGGAUACUGCUGGUCUUGAACUUGUUGGAGGCUGCCGGAACGGAUCGUGUAGCGGUGAAAUGCAUAGAUAUGAUCCAGAACACCAAUUGCGUAGGCAGGCAGCUAGGACUGAGUUGACGCUGAGGCACGAGAGCAUGGGGAGCAAACAGGAUUAGAUACCCUGGUAGUCCAUGCCGUAAACGAUGAUCACUGGCUGUUCGGGCUACAGGCCUGAGUGGCUAAGCGAAAGCGAUAAGUGAUCCACCUGGGGAGUACGCCGGCAACGGUGAAACUCAAAGGAAUUGACGG